CGCUGGCGGAAUGCUUUACACAUGCAAGUCGAGCGGCAGCGCGGGGCAACCUGGCGGCGAGCGGCGAACGGGUGAGUAAUGCAUCGGAACAUGUCCAUUUGUGGGGGACAGCCCGGCGAAAGCCGGAUUAAUACCGCAUACGCCCUGAGGGGGAAAGCGGGGGACUUCGCAAGAGGCCUCGCGCGAAUGGUUUGGCCGAUGUCCGAUUAGCUAGUUGGUGGGGUAAAGGCUUACCAAGGCGAUGAUCGGUAGCUGGUCUGAGAGGAUGAUCAGCCACACUGGGACUGAGACACGGCCAGACUCCUACGGGAGGCAGCAGUGGGGAAUUUUGGACAAUGGGCGCAAGCCUGAUCCAGCAAUGCCGCGUGCAGGAUGGAGGCCUUCGGGUUGUAAACUGCUUUUGUACGGAACGAAACGGUCUGUCCUAAUACGGUGGGCUAAUGACGGUACCGUAAGAAUAAGCACCGGCUAACUACGUGCCAGCAGCCGCGGUAAUACGUAGGGUGCGAGCGUUAAUCGGAAUUACUGGGCGUAAAGCGUGCGCAGGCGGUUAUAUAAGACAGAUGUGAAAUCCCCGGGCUCAACCUGGGACCUGCAUUUGUGACUGUAUAGCUAGAGUACGGUAGAGGGGGAUGGAAUUCCGCGUGUAGCAGUGAAAUGCGUAGAUAUGCGGAGGAACACCGAUGGCGAAGGCAAUCCCCUGGACCUGUACUGACGCUCAUGCACGAAAGCGUGGGGAGCAAA
rnacentral:rRNA from 1 species